CACACAUUGGGUGCUACGUGUCGAUUAAAAGAAAAGAACAACUGAGGCGUCCACUGAGGAGCGGAGCCAGGCUGCUAGCGAUUGAGGAGAUAUGCGCGAAUGGUGCCUGAUUGUGCUGCUGCAUUCUUGUCUUCCAAGAUUUUGUUGCAUCAAACUCCAGGGUCGGCUUAGAUUCGAGGAUUUUGAAAAACGUGCCAUUUUUCAUUGAUAAAAGUGGUGCACCACCUAGACGAUAUUAUAGCCGUUCAUAGCCAAGCCAACACAUACACACGUGAAGCUGCGAUUUCGAGCUCAAUGGCACCAAACAGGCGGUGUCAUUAUAGAGCCGUUUAUGAAAGGAAAGUUGUCCGAGCCGUGGAGUCAUCCAGCGUUCAAGCAGGGCCGAAAAAAUGUGCAUCACUGGAGGCGCUGCAGUGUGGGACAAAACCCCGGGAACUUUGAUUGUGCACUCUUUUAAGAAGCGCGGCAUAUCCAAUGCCCUUGAUGCCACAGAGAAUUAUGCGCUACUUCAAGACUGCGACAAAGAAGUCAGCGAUGAGACAAGAAGCGACGGCGACUCGGAAUGGGCGUGCGAUCGGCAAGCACAGCAUUUUCACGAUACAAAUAACUAGAAGCAGCGUGAAAAUAACGAUGACUAACACACACAACGAACUAGCGGCUGUAUUUUUCCAGAGUUAUCUUCAUCAUGAAGCAACUGUUUUGUUUCAUCUUCAUGUUCAAUAAAUGUUUUCUCUUCGUGAAAA